AAAGAUUUAAGAAAAUUUUGAUUUCUAUUCAUUUUGUUUUAUCUCACUCUUUCUUUUCAAAAGAAAAUAUAACAAGAUCAAAGACGCCGUUUGAGUAGUUUUUAGGUGAUCAUCAACGGAAGCCAUAAUCCUCACUUUAUACACACUCAAGCUCAUUAGUGUAAAUCACAAAUUAAUUGUUUUGUAAACAUUUUAAAUUCUUUUUCAUGAACAUUAACAAUGUAUCACUAAUUAUUUAUCAAGAUUCUAUAAAAGAUAAUCUUAGGUAAACACUCAUGGAAAUAGCAUGUCAUAAAUCAAUACAGUGGUCAAUGACCGGAAAUUUAAUUACACGUAUAUUGUCAGAUUAACUCUUCAAUCAAUUUAAAUCCCGGAGGUCAUGUUUUGACAUAUGUGUAUUAGUUCGAGAUAAAAAAUGAAUUUUGAAUGCUUUUGUUAACCUUGGGACCGUAGAUUUAGUUCGACUCAACCGAAAUUUCGACUCAUCCAAUUUCGACUCAUCAGGAGUCGAAUUACAUACUUUUGUAUGGAAUAAAGUUCGGGACCACGUGAAAACUUCGACUCAUCCGAAAUUUCGAGUCAACCGAGUUCGAGACAACGAGAGUUAACUGUAAUUAAU
rnacentral:lncRNA from 1 species